AGAGUUUGAUCCUGGCUUAGGACGAACGCUGGCGGCGUGCUUAACACAUGCAAGUCGAGCGGAGAAUAUAGCAAUAUAUUCUUAGCGGCGGACGGGUGAGUAACGCGUGGGUAACCUGCCUUUUACAGGGGGAUAACACUGGGAAACUAGUGCUAAUACCGCAUAAAAUAGUGAAGUGGCAUCACUUUACUAUCAAAGGAGCAAUCCGGUAAAAGAUGGACCCGCGUCCGAUUAGCUAGUUGGAGGGUAACGGCCCACCAAGGCGACGAUCGGUAGCCGAACUGAGAGGUUGAUCGGCCACAUUGGGACUGAGACACGGCCCAGACUCCUACGGGAGGCAGCAGUGGGGAAUAUUGCGCAAAUGGGGGAAACCCUGACGCAGCAACGCCGCGUGAAGGAUGAAGGUUUUCGGAUUGUAAACUUCUUUGAUUGGGGACGAUAAUGACGGUACCCAAAAAACAAGCCACGGCUAACUACGUGCCAGCCGCAGC
rnacentral:rRNA from 1 species